GAAGUGAACAAGGAGAUGAGAGGAGGCCUGGAGGAAAACAGGAGAAAGUGUGAAGUGAGAAAAUCUUUUACUUGCUGCUGAAUAAACAAUAAAGGUCUAGGGAAGGAGAUUGUAAAUUGUUCCUACCACUUCAGCUCCAUCAAUACUGCAAGGAUCCGCUCAACUAUGUUAUCAUCAAGCUUCAUUAUUAAACCACACCUAACUCAAAAGCAGGGUCAUACUCUUUAAUUAGAUACUGCCCUGGAUCCAGGAGAAUAAGCAUUGGGUAAG